UACGUAGGUGGCAAGCGUUGUCCGGAUUUACUGGGCGUAAAGAGCGCGCAGGCGGUCGUUCAAGUCGCGUGUGAAAGCCCCCGGCUCAACUGGGGAGGGUCACGCGAUACUGAUCGACUCGAAGGCAGGAGAGGGUAGUGGAAUUCCCGGUGUAGUGGUGAAAUGCGCAGAUAUCAGGAGGAACACCGGUGGCGAAGGCGGGUCUCUGGGCAGUAACUGACGCUGAGGAACGAAAGCGUGGGUAGCGAACAGG
rnacentral:rRNA from 1 species